UACGAUGCAAUGAUAAAGAAGAGUACAUAUUGUGGUAAUUUCAGAGAGCUUGUGGUCGGUGCAAACAAGUAAUUACACAAUAUGGAAUGGGCUUUUGAGCACCAAACCGAACCGAAAGAAGUAGGCUUUGGCGUAAUCCAAACGUUAAAUGGAUUAAAGAGAUUUCACAACUGUGAAAUAAUUAGGGUGGUACCGCGGUCCAUUCGUCCCUAUU
rnacentral:ncRNA from 1 species